rnacentral:lncRNA from 7 species
GACACAUUACAGCCCUACUGAGAACCAGGCAGAGAGGGAACCCAGAAAGUCCAGACGGGUUGCUGAUUAGCACACGAUUCAGAUCCUGUACACGUGUCCCAGGCUACCAGACUCCCUCCCUUCCCCUGCCAACCAGGAACCAGCCUGACUACAAUUACUUACUAUGGAAUGCCCAUCAGUCACAUGGUAUAGAGCCAGCUCCCUCCUCUGAAAUGUAUAAGAAGGGACAUUAUUGUGCCACAUGGGCCUACACUCCCUUCAGGGUACCCACAGUUGUCUUUCAGUCAAUCAAAAUUGUCAACUCGAUUAAUAAAUCUUUGACCCGAA